rnacentral:rRNA from 1 species
UACGAAGGGGGCUAGCGUUGCUCGGAAUUACUGGGCGUAAAGCGCACGUAGGCGGAUAUUUAAGUCAGGGGUGAAAUCCCAGAGCUCAACUCUGGAACUGCCUUUGAUACUGGGUAUCUUGAGUAUGGAAGAGGUGAGUGGAAUUCCGAGUGUAGAGGUGAAAUUCGUAGAUAUUCGGAGGAACACCAGUGGCGAAGGCGGCUCACUGGUCCAUUACUGACGCUGAGGUGCGAAAGCGUGGGGAGCAAACAGG